UAUGGGUUAAUGUGUUAAUAAUCACCUAACUUACACCUUGAAUCUACACCCCCUAAUAUUCUAAAUCAUCGACCCAUAAUCCAUAACCCUUCUAAAGAUGCAAUGUGAUUUAUUCCCAUUGCUCUGCAUGUCAAAGUGAAUAAAUUCAACCAAGCUUGGGUAAGCGACGAGAGUAACUAUGAAUAUCUUAAGGUAGUUGUAUGCCUCGUCAUCUAAUUAGUGACACACAUGAAUGGAUCAUUAACGAGAUUCCCCACUGUCCCUAGCUACUAUAUUCUAUAGAAACCACAUCCAUGGGCUUGGCAGAAUUAGCGGGAAAAGAAGACCCUCAUGUUGAGAUUGACUCUAGUCCUAACCCAUUCAUAGUUUGGGAAAAUUAGACCAUAACAUUUAUCUUUGGGAGUCAAAUUGAUGAUGGAAACAAGUGGGUGUGUGAGUCAAAUUUGAGUCCAUAAAACCUCUCAUAUCGUAAAGGCAUGUGAAUAGUUUAUCUAUGAUCAUGAUGAUAUAAAAAUGAAUAAGCUUCUCUUGUGUAAACCAAUUUGUGUGCUUUGAAAGAAAAAUAUGGUU
rnacentral:ncRNA from 1 species